UAUCGCAUCCAGUUCUCUGUUGGUAGUAGUGAGUGUACAUCAACUUAUAAGAAUACUCGCGUGCCGUGUAAGAUCACGCGAUUUUGUGCAUCGGAAUGUGUUCUUAUCAGUUGCUUGUUUGUUUACAUUCGAGAAUCUACCUGCGAUCCGAACUCUAGCGUAGUGUUUCUUUAGUGUAUUGUAUUCGGGCAGACGUGUCUUAACUUGUCGCGUUUUAUGCGUGCAUAUUCCUCAGUCCUUCAGUUGCUUUAUUCGAUGCAUCUCGUGAUUCGUGUUAUUGCGUGACAUUUUAAUUAAGUAAAGUGCGUUAUUUUCGGUCAAGAAUUCACAUCAUUUAGCAGUUACUAAUGAGUUUGUGGUUUCACUUAAGUUUUAUCAUGUGUCGAAUAAUUAAAAACGUGAAAUAAGUUUGCUAUCGGAUAUUAAUGGAUUACAAAGGCUACGUCGAGCGAGCAGCAAUAUCUAUUUGCUGUGGAUAUGCGGACAACGACUGUACUUGUCGCACCCUUGCAAUUCGAUGAGCGUUGCAUUGUACUUUUUAUGAUUACAUGAUGCACUGGUAAGUUUGUAAACAUUAUUACAUUAUACUUUCAUAUUUAUCUAAAAUUGCAUGUAACGUGAAUACCGUAACAACACAAAAUUGAUGCGUUCCGUCGGAUGCGACUUGGAUCUACGCGCAGAGUAUGGUCAUGUCAAUCAUCGGUUUAAUAACGUGAAAUUUUCCUUGCUCGCAUUUUUAUUUUUAUUUUAUAAAUCUGCAGGCUCUUUAACGUAUUUUCGUAACUUGGCAAUUAAUUAUUGAGAGUAAUAUAUUUGUAAAAUAUUUGUAAUAUAUUUGUAUAAUGUAGCAAUUUUCUUCUUGGAUCACUCUAUGUUCUACUUUACCUUGCGUUCUAGCGUAAAACUGACUAAAUUUGUUGUUUCUUGGUCGUUUUCUACUUAAACUUUGUAUUUUAUUUUUAAAUUUAGGAAUUUCCUGUUUGUAUCACCCUGUAUGUUUGUUUUUCUUGAUUUCCUAUUAUAAGCUUUCUAAAUUUGUAUUCCCGACUGUUUUCUUUUUUGUACUAUUGAUUUUCUUUUUGUGAUGUAGUAAUUUUCUUUUUGUAACUCCCUGUAUAUUUGUUCCCAUUUUCACUCACGUAGAAAAUGGUCUAUUUCCUAAUUUCUUUAUCCCGGUCGUACUUUGCGAAGUGCAACUUGCUUGCCUGUGCGCGGCUAUGCAGGUCGUAAGUCCUGUUUCAAUAUGGCGACAUGUAUUCUGUUGACUUGUAAAAUAUAAACUUGUAUUCUAUUGUUAAUAAAGAAAUAGUAAGAUA